rnacentral:rRNA from 1 species
AGUGAACGCUGGCGGUAGGCCUAACACAUGCAAGUCGAACGGCAGCACAGUAAGAGCUUGCUCUUACGGGUGGCGAGUGGCGGACGGGUGAGGAAUACAUCGGAAUCUACUUUUUCGUGGGGGAUAACGUAGGGAGACUUACGCUAAUACCGCAUACGACCUACGGGUGAAAGCAGGGGAUCUUCGGACCUUGCGCGAUUGAAUGAGCCGAUGUCGGAUUAGCUAGUUGGCGGGGUAAAGGCCCACCAAGGCGACGAUCCGUAGCUGGUCUGAGAGGAUGAUCAGCCACACUGGAACUGAGACACGGUCCAGACUCCUACGGGAGGCAGCAGUGGGGAAUAUUGGACAAUGGGCGAAAGCCUGAUCCAGCAAUACCGCGUGGGUGAAGAAGGCCUUCGGGUUGUAAAGCCCUUUUGUUGGGAAAGAAAAGCAGCAGGUUAAUACCCCGCUGUUCUGACGGUACCCAAAGAAUAAGCACCGGCUAACUUCGUG